AGACCGGAAGGUUUGAGGAGCAGAAAGAUUCAUUCCAUCAUUGUUACCCAAGUGAUUGUAGCUCACUAUUGACGUUGGCUUAAUACCGGCUCCAACAAGGAAAUCAACCAACACGGACUUCAUCUUGGUUUGACCACUCUUAAAGUCAUCACCACCAAUUAAAGUGUUUCUCUUUAUGGCCAAAUCAAUAAGACCUGGAACAAAAGUGUUUUGAGGGCUUCCGUUGAUGAAAGGCACAUUUUCCAUAAUACAAGCAAUAGCAUGCAAUGUAGAAGGAGAUAUUUCAGCCUCAUUUCUAUCCACAGCAGCUAAAAGGUUUUCCAUGGUGUCAUUAAGGCCAACAACCACAUUACUGUACCUUUCGGUGUUGGCAGUCCAUAGAACCACUAUCUUGUCUACCUUGUUCUUCUCCUUGAACUCCCUAAUAUCUUUAACAAUUUGUUCAACUUGUUCUUUCUUGGUUCCUUU
rnacentral:misc_RNA from 1 species